rnacentral:sRNA from 1 species
CGCUAUUUGAAACCUGAGCACUGCCCCUCUGAUAUAUUCAAGCGUUCUCUUCCUUAUAAAUACUGCCUAGUUAUCACGUAAUUAUCAGAGUCAGAAUCGCCAAUUCAAUUAUCUAUCGAUAUUCAGAUUUUGGGUCAAUAUUCGGACAUUAUCCAGUUCCGACAACCUCUCUACCUGCUCGAUAUCCGAUUGAUUGCUGGAAAAUGCUAGCUGUCUACCUGCCUACCUACCUAUCUAUCUGCUCAAUAUCCAAUCAAUCUCUACGAGAAUAAACGUCGCCAUCUAGCCACUCAUCUAUCGAUCAAUACUAGCUUACUAGCUGACUACUGACUAUCUGACUCUCUAUAUAUUGACCUUGAAUGAAUGAUAUCCACUGAUGAUAUCCAGCGAUGAUAUCUGUGAUGAUAAAAUAAAAUACAAUAAAAUAGAUAAGUUUUUUAUCUUUUUAAAAUAGCAAUGAAUUCUCUACAGUAGUCGCAAUGAUAUUUUCUUCAAAUAGUUACUUUUGUAUAUAAAGAGCUGUUGUUGGUCAGAGCUGGCUGGCUGUAUAGAAGUCAUUCCGUGCAACCAGUGCCCAACUGUUGGAGGAAUUGGAUUUAGUGAUUCGUCCCCUCUAGUUAUACCACCAGGGCUCUGGUGGUGAUUAAGCUCUUUGGCCCCAGUGGCCUAACACCAGCAAUACAUAUAACAAACAUAGCAUUGUGGUGAGACGCAUGGGAGAAGCGAAGGCAGGUGUAAUACCUAUUAUUUAGCCGUUUUAUUAUAUUCUAAAAUAUAAAAACCCA